AAGUGCUGGCUACCAGCCAGAUGGGGCCACGCACAAGUUCACAGGCUCUGCACCUAGGAGGUAGUGCACUGAAGGAUUGAAGGAGGAGGACACGAUCAAGUAGGCAUACCCAUCGUCAGCUUCAAAGUCACGUUCUCAGUCCUGACCCACCAGUGAGCGUCGUGUUAACUCCAAGGAGGAGGAAGAACAUUGAAUGGUGGGAAAACAGGUGGAAGGCUCUCUGCUGGCCUGUGCUGGAAUCCUGGUUCUGUGUUUCGGGAAAAGUUUAGGAUGCUUUUAGUGGCUAGUUGAAAUAAAAAUCGGAGCACAUGAAAGCUCUCUCAACUCGUCUACCAAUAAGGUUUUUUUAGAGAGAUGCUACUGUGAGAUCCUGGUGCUUCUCCAGAGGGCUCGACAGAGUUCCCGGAGGCAGGUGCACAGUCAGGCCUCUGUGUACCUGAAGAUUUGGUGGGUGGCCUCCCAGAGGAAGUGGAACUGCUCCCCUGUAUCUUCACACUUUGAAAUACUACUUUUUAAGAACGAAAUGGCUAGUCUUCCCCAACUUAAGAUGAACCAAAAUAGUGCUUUUAGAGCAACAAUUUAUUGAAACCAAAUCCUGGGGUACCAUAUUAAUUUGUACUAUUUUCAAGCCAAAAGAAAGUAUUGGUAUUUAUUUCUAUUAUUUAUUAUUUUAUUAUUAACAUGAUCGAUGAGACUUUUGUAUUAAGCUAAUAUCUUAAUAAAUGAAAGAAU